GACGAACGCUGGCGGCGUGCUUAACACAUGCAAGUCAAGGGGGCCCGCAAGGGUAACCGGCGAACGGGUGCGUAACACGUGAGCAAUCUGCCUCGAUGUGGGGGAUAGCCGGCCCAACGGCCGGGUAAUACCGCAUACGCUCUCUGGGUGGCAUCACCUGGAGAGGAAACAUUUUUGGCAUUGAGAGGAGCUCGCGGCCUAUCAGCUAGUUGGUGGGGUAACGGCCUACCAAGGCAUUGACGGGUAGCUGGUCUGAGAGGAUGGCCAGCCACAUUGGGACUGAGAUACGGCCCAGACGCCGACGGGAGGCAGCAGUGGGGAAUAUUGCGCAAUGGCCGAAAGGCUGACGCAGCGACGCCGCGUGGGGGAUGAAGCAUUUCGGUGUGUAAACCCCUGUUGCUCGGGACGAACAACUGGAUUCUUCCAGUCUGACGGUACCGGGUGAGGAAGCACCGGCUAACUCCGUGCCAGCCGCCGCCGUAAAAC
rnacentral:rRNA from 1 species